GGGGAUUGGUUUGGGAGUAAAGGGUGGUGAUCAUGGGGGAAUGGGUGGAGAAGAAAAACCCGGAGAAGAGGUGGUGGGUUGGGUUUGGGGGAUGAAAAUACAUAAAUGGGAGGUGGGGGGAAGGGUCUGUGGGGAUGGGGAAUUGGUCUAGGAGUGAAGGAUGGUGGUCAUAGGGGAACGAGAGGAGGAAGGGAGGAGAUGGAAGAGGUUGGCAUUAGGUUUACUCUUUUUCUUCAAUUUCUUCCAAAAAAAUAAUUUUUGAAAAUGAUUUAACUGAAAUUGGAUGAAAUGUUGAGAAUUUAGACGGUAGGGGGAAAUUGGCAAAAAAAAAGUUCAUAUCCUUAAUUUUCUAUAUAAAAAAAAACAUAUGGGGUGAAUUGAAAGCUAUGUACAAGUUCAAGGGGCAAAUCACCAGUUAACUCAAACCAAAAUUAUAGUGAUGAAAACAUAAAUACAAAUUGACAACUGAAAAAAAAAAAACAAGAAUACAAAAUCAAUUUCUCCGCCUACAAGAAUACAAAAUCAAUUUUUCCGCCUACGUAGAGUGAACAUUAAUCCGAC
rnacentral:lncRNA from 1 species